CUGCGAAUGGCUCAUUAAAUCAGUUAUCGUUUAUUUGAUAGUACCUUACUACAUGGAUACCUGUGGUAAUUCUAGAGCUAAUACAUGCUAAAAACCCCGACUUCGGAAGGGGUGUAUUUAUUAGAUAAAAAACCAAUGCCCUUCGGGGCUCCUUGGUGAUUCAUAAUAACUUAACGAAUCGCAUGGCCUUGCGCCGGCGAUGGUUCAUUCAAAUUUCUGCCCUAUCAACUUUCGAUGGUAGGAUAGUGGCCUACCAUGGUGGCAACGGGUAACGGGGAAUUAGGGUUCGAUUCCGGAGAGGGAGCCUGAGAAACGGCUACCACAUCCAAGGAAGGCAGCAGGCGCGCAAAUUACCCAAUCCCGACACGGGGAGGUAGUGACAAUAAAUACUGAUACGGGGCUCUUUCGGGUCUCGUAAUUGGAAUGAGUACAAUCUAAAUCCCUUAACGAGGAACAAUUGGAGGGCAAGUCUGGUGCCAGCAGCCGCGGUAAUUCCAGCUCCAAUAGCGUAUAUUAAAGUUGUUGCAGUUAAAAAGCUCGUAGUUGAACCUUGGGUCUGGCUGGCCGGUCCGCCUCACCGCGAGUACUGGUCCGGCUGGACCUUUCCUUCUGGGGAAUCCCAUGGCCUUCACUGGCUGUGGGGGGAACCAGGACUUUUACUGUGAAAAAAUUAGAGUGUUC
rnacentral:rRNA from 1 species